UCUUAAUGAACCAUCCGCGAGUUCAUGACACUGCCACCGGCCUCCAUUUCGCAUGGAGUCCAUUCCACCACCAUUGCCUCGGAUCUUCAGGGCUCUAAAACUAAUUGUUGGAGCUAACUCUCUCACCACUCUUCUCUUGGUUGUGUCACACAACACACACGGAAACACAAAAAACACGUGAGUCUGGUUUGGAGCUGCUUCACACAGCCCAACCUUUUCCUUUCUUUCUCUUAUUGAAGGAAACAUGCUUCAUCUUCUAAUAAGUAGACUCACGCACACAGUUUAGCCACAUGUUCAGCCGCUAACACCACAUACUAAUACAUGCAACUAACAAAACUGACACAUGACCUUAUCCUUCUCCUAGAAACUCUCCAGGAGCCCUGAACUCGGCCUCAAACAAUAGUGCAGUUAACCACCAUUACCUAUUAACACGACCAAGUUCACCAAUUGCGCAACCUUCUCAACGACCAUUGACCCAACCAAAUCAGCAUAUGCAUCCAACUGAUAAUAAUUUUGCC
rnacentral:lncRNA from 1 species